rnacentral:lncRNA from 1 species
AGAUGGGGCUGGAGUCUGGUCAGGCAACCACGCUGGAGUUUUUCCCCCAAAAGGAUGCUAACAACCAGUGAAUCCUGGGUGCAGCCGCAUAGCUGGCAGCUGGGUGGCCUGGGAGGGCAGAUGCGGGUAGAAUUGGUGGAUGAAUUAGCUGGGGAAGUACACAGGGCAGGGCUGGGGUGUGACGGCCCCCUUUUUCUCCCAGUAAAGGCUGAAAAUCUGGGUCACAGCUGAGGAAGACCUCAGACAUGGAGUCCAGGAUGUGGCCUGCGCUGCUGCUGUCCCACCUCCUCCCUCUCUGGCCACUGCUGUUGCUGCCCCUCCCACCGCCUGCUCAGGGCUCUUCAUCCUCCCCUCGAACCCCACCAGCCCCAGCCCGCCCCCCGUGUGCCAGGGGAGGCCCCUCGGCCCCACGUCAUGUGUGCGUGUGGGAGCGAGCACCUCCACCAAGCCGAUCUCCUCGGGUCCCAAGAUCACGUCGGCAAGUCCUGCCUGGCACUGCACCCCCAGCCACCCCAUCAGGCUUUGAGGAGGGGCCGCCCUCAUCCCAAUACCCCUGGGCUAUCGUGUGGGGUCCCAC